UACGGAGGGUGCAAGCGUUAUCCGGAUUCACUGGGUUUAAAGGGUGCGUAGGCGGGCAGGUAAGUCAGUGGUGAAAUCUCCGGGCUUAACCCGGAAACUGCCAUUGAUACUAUUUGUCUUGAAUAUUGUGGAGGUAAGCGGAAUAUGUCGUGUAGCGGUGAAAUGCUUAGAUAUGACACAGAACACCAAUUGCGAAGGCAGCUUACUACACAAUGAUUGACGCUGAGGCACGAAAGCGUGGGGAUCAAACAGG
rnacentral:rRNA from 1 species